GAGGAUAUAGCUCAAUGGUAGAGCACAUGCUUAGCAAGCACAGGGUCCUGAGUUCAAUUCCCAGUACUUACG
rnacentral:tRNA from 1 species